CUACCGGCGUCGCGAGGCGCCGGGAUGGGGUGGCAGAAGUCAGCAGAAGCCGUAGUAGCCGGCGUACCGGGUCGGUGAAGGGC
rnacentral:ncRNA from 1 species